rnacentral:rRNA from 1 species
UACAGAGGGUGCGAGCGUUGUCCGGAAUCACUGGGCGUAAAGGGCGCGUAGGUGGUGGCUUAAGCGUGCGGUGAAAGCUCGGGCUCAACUCCGAGUCGGCCGUGCGAACUGGGCUCACUGGAGCAUAGUAGAGGCAGGUGGAAUUCCGGGUGUAGCGGUGGAAUGCGUAGAGAUCGGGAGGAAGGCCGGUGGCGAAGGCGGCGCUCUGGAACGUUUCUGACGCUGAGGCUCGAAAGCGUGGGGAGCAAACAGG